AGCUUAAUGUCUUCAAGCUUAUUGACUUUACAAUUGUUUCUUGUUUUCAGAGUUCACAAUUGUUAAGUGUGGCUUAAGCUGCAGAACAGCAAGCCAUUUUCAUUGUCUUUAUUGCUCACAGACCAUAAUUAAUAGGGGCCAGUUUUUACGGCAUGUCUAUUCACAUGAGCCAAAAGCUGUGACUGUAGGGCGACUUACAGCACCUGCCCAGCUCCCUCCACCAUCUCACCUGCUCACUGCAGCACCUGCCCAGCUCCCUCCACCAUCUCACCUGCUCACUCCAGCACCUGCCCGGCUCACCCCACCAUCUCCCCUGCUAGUUGCUUCCCGUCAUCCUGCUCCUGAAAAGCGACAUAGGCCUAAAAAAACUGUAAAUUUCCACACUGCAAUCUAAAAUUAAACAAGAAGAAUUAUAAAACACAUGUGCGUCGCAAGCACACAACAUAUUUUGAAACUGUCUCCAAGGAAAGACAUCUGCAAAGCCAGUGUAUUGAUGAACCCAAUGGUGUGUUUGCAGUGGAGAAGACAUUUUCAGGCCCGGCAACACCAAUACACGUCAUUAAAAAUAUGUCAUGUGAUAUGAGGUUCAUCUAUGUGAACUCAAUGCUGACUUUGCCCGAAGAUGUGGUAUGCUGCCUUAUGAAUGUCAGCAUUUGCAAUCAUUGCUGUACUGCCCACCUGCACGCAACAAACCAUUAACUUUGCAAAAGGAAUCAUUGGCUACAAUGGUUCAGGAGAAAUGGUUUGGUGAGGAGCUUAAGGCCAGUCUUGUACAGUGGCAACAAGAGAUAAAAGAUAGACCAAGUUUGUUCCUGUUCCAACAGUGUUCAAAGAUUUUCUGCCUGAUUUCCGAGUACUUAUAAAGUUGAAUUAAAUUGUACUUUUUCUUAACUUUCACAUGCAUUGUGUUCACAGAAACCUUGCUCAGAUCUUGUGCCCUGGGCAAGUCUUGGUGUGGAUGAUGUCCAGGGCCUACCAAGACAAGGUUUCUCGAACAACUGUGGGGUGUUUGUUUUGAUGUACGCAUUUUACAUUGUGGCAAGAGCCCAAUUUGAUUUCAAUGAGACAAACACGCAGCAAAUUAGGCACUGGUGGUGCCUAGUUCUCCUCAAACU